CCUACGGGAGGCAGCAGUGGGGAAUUUUGGACAAUGGGGGCAACCCUGAUCCAGCCAUUCCGCGUGAGUGAAGAAGGCCUUCGGGUUGUAAAGCUCUUUUGUUCGGGACGAAACGGUUUUGGUUAAUAACCAAGACUACUGACGGUACCGGAAGAAUAAGCACCGGCUAACUACGUGCCAGCAGCCGCGGUAAUACGUAGGGUGCGAGCGUUAAUCGGAAUUACUGGGCGUAAAGCGUGCGCAGGCGGUUUUGUAAGCCAGAUGUGAAAUCCCCGGGCUCAACCUGGGAAUGGCAUUUGGGACUGCAAGGCUAGAGUAUGGCAGAGGGGACUAGAAUUCCUGGUGUAGCAGUGAAAUGCGUAGAUAUCAGGAGGAAUACCGAUGGCGAAGGCAGGUCCCUGGGCCAAUACUGACGCUCAUGCACGAAAGCGUGGGGAGCAAACAGGAUUAGAUACCCUGGUAGUCCACGCCCUAAACGAUGUCAACUGGUUGUUGGGGGUAUUUAUUCUCUUAGUAACGAAGCUAACGCGUGAAGUUGACCGCCUGGGGAGUACGGUCGCAAGAUUAAAACUCAAAUGAAUUGACGG
rnacentral:rRNA from 1 species